rnacentral:rRNA from 1 species
UACGAAGGGGGGCUAGCGUUGCUCGGAAUCACUGGGCGUAAAGCGCACGUAGGCGGAUUGCUAAGUCAGGGGUGAAAUCCUGGAGCUCAACUCCAGAACUGCCCUUGAUACUGGCGGUCUCGAGUCCGGGAGAGGUGAGUGGAACUGCGAGUGUAGAGGUGAAAUUCGUAGAUAUUCGCAAGAACACCAGUGGCGAAGGCGGCUCACUGGCCCGGUACUGACGCUGAGACGCGAAAGCGUGGGGAGCGAACAGG